rnacentral:rRNA from 1 species
GACGAACGCUGGCGGCGUGCUUAAUACAUGCAAGUCGAACGAGAUCGACCUUCGGGUCAUAUGAUCAAGUGGCGAACGGGUGAGUAACACGUGAGAAACCUGCCCUGAAGUUCGGAAUAACUCAAGGAAACUCGAGCUAAUACCGGAUGCCCUCUUUGAACCUAAUGGUUCGCUGAGGAAAGAUUUAUCGCUUUGGGAGGGUCUCGCGGCCUAUCAGCUAGUUGGUGAGGUAAUGGCUCACCAAGGCAUCGACGGGUAGCUGGUCUGAGAGGACGAUCAGCCACACUGGAACUGAGACACGGUCCAGACUCCUACGGGAGGCAGCAGUAGGGAAUCUUGCGCAAUGGGCGAAAGCCUGACGCAGCGACGCCGCGUGGGGGAUGAAGGCCCUAGGGUCGUAAACCCCUUUUAGCAGGGACGAAAAUGACGGUACCUGCAGAAUAAGCGCCGGCCAACUACG